rnacentral:misc_RNA from 1 species
CAAACUCAAAGUUCAUUCUUUAAACCCAAUGUGAAACGUAACCUUCAUUCGCUUCGGUAGCAGGUGCCUGAACCGCUCGUGACUCAAGUCUGACUUGAUUCUGAACGGUUCCUGUGUCGUAAGCCUGCCGGCAGCAAACCUAUCAAACUCGCUUUUGAACAUUGUCUAUGAAAUAUCAUUUACGAAUGAAUAUCA